GGCCCCGUAGCUCAGCUGGAUAGAGCAGCAGCCUUCUAAGCUGCUGGCCGUUGGUUCGAAUCCAACCGGGGUCG
rnacentral:tRNA from 1 species